ACAAAAUGAACAAAGACCUAUUUCCUAGUUCCUCUUCUAUUAGGUCAACAGUUAUUUCACUUUUUUUUUUUUUUUUUAAGAUUUAUUUUUGGUAGACAAUUUAUGUAAAAUAGUGGAGUGUGUGAUAGCGAUUGGGAUUAAGUUCUUAGGUACACUUUACAUCUUAAAUUUCUUGACUUCAGUAUUUUGCAUACAGUCUAGGUCAUUAAUUCCUUUAGCUGGCUAGGAAACUGGAAAGCAGAGCCUUUAAUGUACUAAACUUCAUUGAACUUUCAAGAUUGACCUCUCUUAAGGUUGCUUCUUAGUCUUGUGGGGAAUAGAAAGAUGAAGAACUCUGGAUCAUCUCAAUUUCCAUUUGUGAAAAAGCGUUCAGAAUUUCAAACUGCAGCCACCCCUAUUAGGCUGAAGCCUACUGGAUUCCUUAUUGGUCAAAAUUGGAAUGUCAGCAUUUCAGAUAGUUCAACUUAAUAACUCCCGGUUCCCUCAUCUUUGCCAUUGCCAUUUGUAGAUUGUGGCUAAUGUAUGGGAAUUUCUUGCAAAAGGUGGGAUGCCAACCUCUUAACAUUUAGUGCUUAGUCCAAAAGUCGUGGGAGAUAGUUUCAGGUAUUAUAACCUCCAUAUUUAUAAACAAGAAAUCCGAGGUAAAGGGGAUGGGUUAUACAGUGCCAGCCCUAAAACCUAUGUAAACAUGAUUGAAUAACUGGACAUAGGAUUCUUAGAUGCAUAGUUUGAAACCCCAUGGAAGAAGUAUUGUAUGCCUAUUUAAGACAUUACUGAUGAGCCAACUCAUAUAAAUCCUAGUUUCUGAACCAUCUUCACCUCCAAAUAAAUCUCUUUCUAACCUCUCUCACCCAAUCACUCAUGAAUUUUCCUACCUCUGGAUCUCUCCCAUCGAUGGCCAUCCUCACCAUUCUGUACCUAGCCCACACCAAUUACCCAUACAUCUCAUUGCCUCCGUGUCUUCUCCAACACAUUAGAAGCAUCUUGAGUGCCUAUGACGUUUCACACUGCUAAUCAUUGGAGACAGGAAGAUAAGACACCCUGUGUGUGGUGGUUUUGAAAUAUUUGUGCGUCACCUUCCUUGAAAGCAGAUCCCUGAGCUGCAGUCAAGUCCUUAGGUGACUACAGCCCCAGCUGACCUCUUGGCCUGCAACCUCAGGAAGGAUCCUGAGACAGAACUGCUGAUCGGAGUGUGUUUGGCAAUGGAAGAAACAUGCAAGAAAGAGAAGGAACUACUGAAAAUACUAGAAAUGUGGAAGAUCACUGAUGAAUCCAGGGAGGAUACUAAAGACUUGCCCUUCAUGGUUACAUAGAAGCUACAAGAGCUCCUGGUCAUUUCCUUUAUAAAACAAGGCUCAACAUUGACAAAGAAGGAGAAGGGGCAUUUUGAAGAGUAAAACAUUUGCAGAAACCCCAGGCUUCCUUUAUGCCUUAUUGUCAGAAUUGCCUCCUUUAUGCCUUAUUGAGAGAAUUGCCUCAUGUGCCCAUUCCUAAACCAGCCAUUGACAAGCUGAGUGGAACUGACCUCACUAAACUGACUUCAUGAGGAAGGCAUCUUUGCCGGAACUCGGGUGAUGUUGAGUUUCCUUUGAAGAUUCUGGCUACCCCUACCUGUACAAAAUUAAAAUUCCAGUGGCAAGAAAAAAGAGAAGAAUUGCUGCAGAGCAGGCACCCAGUAUCUGCACAGUGAUUUUUUUCCAGAGCCUUUUCACUCAUAUUUUUGCACACAACAAGCCUUGCUUUCUGGCUUCUGUAUGCUAGGCACAUGGACCUUGUUAGAAUGUCUGGUUGAAGGACUUCCAACUUGACAAAGUGGGUUGUUUGUCUUCUGACAGUCCAGUGUAUUAUCUCAGCCUCAACAGCACCAUUCACUAAAGGCAGAGACUACAGUGCCAAAUCUUGCCUCCAAUAUCACAGCAGAUUAGAGGAAUCUUUGGUGUGGCGGGCAGGAUGGUGGGAUCAGUCGGCACAAAGGGGAUGUGUGGUCUGUAAAGAAUUUUAAAACAGUGAUAAACCUCUAAAUGCAGUCUGGAAUCCUGGAUUGAGCCCUGGAACAGAAAAAUAACAGUAGAAACACUGCUGAAAUCAAA